rnacentral:lncRNA from 1 species
CUAACCACCUAAGGCCCUCUCUUCCCUCAUAACUAACUGUCACCAGGUAGGCCCCAUCUCCCAAAGGCCCCAUAGCUUCCCUAAGUGGCGUUACUGGCUGGAGAAUAAGCACUCCCAACACGAAACUGUGGUGUUAUCUCAAACUGUAACAGCGGAUGCUUAAUGAACCACUGAUGUCCUUCACCCGUAGAGCAGCAGAAAUUCAGCCGUACAUGUGAAUCCUUUGAUAAUAUUAAAACAAAACAAAACACCAUUGAUGCUGUAACAAAUGAUCACAAAGCUAGUAAAAUUGUGUAACAAAAUAAAUGAAUUAUCUGAAAGCCGUGGAGGCUGGACAUCUGAAAUCAAUAUCACUGGAUGGAAUUAAGGUGUAGAGACAUGGGGCUGCUUCGGACUGUACACAGCAGCCAAUUGUGAUCGGUCUCCUGCCCUAGCAGAGGGAUAAAUCGAAGAGCUACAUGCUCAGCACCUUUCAAGUUUGGCCCCACCUGCAAAUAAUGUGACUGUGAACAGCUAAGCUGGUUGGUAAGACUCAUAGGCACUCUCCAAUUCAAGGACCAGACAGCUGUAAGAAAAAGAAGCCAGCUGUAGAUCCAACACUGGGACCUAUAUUCCUUGUGGGAAAACGCGAAAACAUUUCCAGCUAACGAUUUCUGGGAAGAACAAGCUGCAACAUAACCACAAGAGACAAAUAGCAAGCAAUUGGACAGCUGAUGAACAGCCUCCUGUCAAUCAUCAUCCUAAGUGAGCCAAUUGUUCUGACUGUCUGGUCUUCCAGGAUUGUGAUGUUGCCAUUGCUGGGCACCAGGCCAGCAGGCAGGCUGAGGCUCCUUCUGUGGAAGAGGAACUUGAUUUGCUUGCCAUAGAGAAUUGCCUGCCUUGCCUUGGCCGCACAGCUCAUACGCCAUACAGAAAAAAAAAAAAAAAAAAAAGUAACUGUUCUUUUGCCAACACCUGCUUCUGUCAACACCCUCUACCUCCACCCUGUCCUCUGCUACUGUGUCGAAAGCGCUGAGGUCACUCUCAGUUGGCUUUUGUGACUGCAGUUAGAGGAACAGAUAAACUGGCAGAAACACAGAAAAAAAGAAAACCCACCCAAGAUCUCCGUUCUGACUUAUUUUCGAAGAUUUGACUCACUGGCUGCCACCUGCUGUGCCGGGCAGCAUCCCUGGGCACCAGAGCUGACUCAAUUUGCCCAUCUAGUCUGGAGCAGGAGAGCACACUCAAAAGCACGCCUACUCAGCCUGCUCUGUUCUUCAUUCACAGAGACUUUCAGGACUUAACCUCAAGCAUUCAUGGCUUCUUUUUAUCCUGCACCCAGACCAAGGUCAAAUACAGUCAAAGACUUGAGGGGGGUGUCUCACCAGCACCCUCACUGUUAGAGAGGCAGCUGGCUGGGACACUUACCAGGUUGAGAUAAUUUAAGCAUCAAAAUGAAGAAGGCUGGAGCUGGGAAGAGUAAAGAGACUGCUAUGCAAGUCUGAGGACCUGAGU